rnacentral:rRNA from 1 species
GGUCUGAGAAGAUGAUCCGCCACACUGGGACUGAGACACGGCCCAGACUCCUACGGGAGGCAGCAGUGGGGAAUAUUGGACAAUGGGGGGAACCCUGAUCCAGCCAUGCCGCGUGUGUGAAGAAGGCCUUUUGGUUGUAAAGCACUUUAAGCGAGGAGGAGGCUACCGAGAUUAAUACUCUUGGAUAGUGGACGUUACUCGCAGAAUAAGCACCGGCUAACUCUGAGCCAGCAGCCGCGGUAAUACAGAGGGUGCAAGCGUUAAUCGGAUUUACUGGGCGUAAAGCGCGCGUAGGUGGCCAAUUAAGUCAAAUGUGAAAUCCCCGAGCUUAACUUGGGAAUUGCAUUCGAUACU